GAUGAACGCUGGCGGCGUGCCUAACACAUGCAAGUCGAGCGAAAAGACGAGGAGCUUGCGGCUCUGACGUUAGGGGAGGGGGGGAGAGAAACACGUGGAAAACCUACCUAUAAGACGGGGAAAACUUCGGAAAACGGGCGCUAACACCGGAGAAUAUAUUGAACCGCAGGGUGGAAUAGUGAAAGACGGCGUUGCUGGCAGGUAUAGAUGGAUCCGCGCCGCUUUAGCUAGUUGGGAAGGUAAAGGCUUAUCAAGGCAACGAUGCGUAGCCGACGUGGGGGGGUGAUCGGCCACACUGGAGCUGAGCCACGCUCCAGACUCCUACGGGACGCAGCAGUCGGGUAUCUUCCGCAGUGGGCGAAAGCCUGACGGAGCAGCGCCGCGUGAGUGAUGAAGGUCUUCGGAUCGUAAAGCUCUGUUAUUAGUUAAGAACAAAUGUGUAAGUAACUAUGCACGUCUUGACGGUACCUAAUCAGAAAGCCCCGGCUAACUACGUG
rnacentral:rRNA from 1 species